UACGGAGGGUGCAAGCGUUAUCCGGAUUUACUGGGUUUAAAGGGUGCGUAGGUGGGUUUGUAAGUCAGUGGUGAAAUCUCCGAGCUUAACUCGGAAACUGCCAUUGAUACUAUAGAUCUUGAAUUAUCUGGAGGUGAGCGGAAUAUGUCAUGUAGCGGUGAAAUGCUUAGAUAUGACGUAGAACACCAAUUGCGAAGGCAGCUCACUACGGAUUGAUUGACACUGAGGCACGAAAGCGUGGGGAUCAAACAGG
rnacentral:rRNA from 1 species